AGUGAACGCUGGCGGCAGGUCUAACACAUGCAAGUCGAACGGCAGCACAGGAGAGCUUGCUCUCUGGGUGGCGAGUGGCGGACGGGUGAGGAAUACAUCGGAAUCUGCCUAUUUGUGGGGGAUAACGUAGGGAAACUUACGCUAAUACCGCAUACGACCUACGGGUGAAAGUGGGGGACCGCAAGGCCUCACGCAGAUAGAUGAGCCGAUGUCGGAUUAGCUAGUAGGCGGGGUAAUGGCCAACCAAGGCGACGAUCCGUAGCUGGUCUGAGAGGAUGAUCAGCCACACUGGAGCUGAGAGACGGACCAGACUCCUACGGGAGGCAGCAGUGGGGAAUAUUGUACAAUGGGCGCAAGCCUGAUCCAGCCGAGCCGCGUGGGUGAAGAAGUCCUUCGGGUUUUAAAGCCCUUUUGUCCGGAAAGAAAAGCAUUCGGUUAAUAACCGGGUGUCAUUACGGUACCGGAAGAAUAAGCACCGGCUAACUUCGUGCCAGCCGCCGCGGUAAAAC
rnacentral:rRNA from 1 species